rnacentral:rRNA from 1 species
GGCGCACGGGUGCGUAACGCGUAUGCAAUCUACCUUUUACAGAGGGAUAGCCCAGAGAAAUUUGGAUUAAUACCUCAUAGUAUUGCAGAAUGGCAUCAUUCAGCAAUUAAAGUCACAACGGUAAAAGAUGAGCAUGCGUCCCAUUAGCUAGUUGGUAAGGUAACGGCUUACCAAGGCUACGAUGGGUAGGGGUCCUGAGAGGGAGAUCCCCCACACUGGUACUGAGACACGGACCAGACUCCUACGGGAGGCAGCAGUGAGGAAUAUUGGACAAUGGGCGCAAGCCUGAUCCAGCCAUGCCGCGUGCAGGAUGACGGUCCUAUGGAUUGUAAACUGCUUUUAUACGAGAAGAAACAUCGCGACGUGUCGGAACUUGACGGUAUCGUAAGAAUAAGGAUCGGCUAACUCCGUGCCAGCAGCCGCGGUAAUACGGAGGAUCCAAGCGUUAUCCGGAAUCAUUGGGUUUAAAGGGUCCGUAGGCGGUUUAAUAAGUCAGUGGUGAAAGCCCAUCGCUCAACGGUGGAACGGCCAUUGAUACUGUUAGACUUGAAUUAUUAGGAAGUAACUAGAAUAUGUAGUGUAGCGGUGAAAUGCUUAGAGAUUACAUGGAAUACCAAUUGCGAAGGCAGGUUACUACUAAUGGAUUGACGCUGAUGGACGAAAGCGUGGGUAGCGAACAGGAUUAGAUACCCUGGUAGUCCACGCCGUAAACGAUGGAUACUAGCUGUUGGGUGCAAACUCAGUGGCUAAGCGAAAGUGAUAAGUAUCCCACCUGGGGAGUACGUUCGCAAGAAUGAAACUCAAAGGAAUUGACGGGGGCCCGCACAAGCGGUGGAGCAUGUGGUUUAAUUCGAUGAUACGCGAGGAACCUUACCAAGGCUUAAAUGUAGAUUGACCGGUUUGGAAACAGAUCUUUCGCAAGACAAUUUACAAGGUGCUGCAUGGUUGUCGUCAGCUCGUGCCGUGAGGUGUCAGGUUAAGUCCUAUAACGAGCGCAACCCCUGUUGUUAGUUGCCAGCGAGUCAUGUCGGGAACUCUAACAAGACUGCCAGUGCAAACUGUGAGGAAGGUGGGGAUGACGUCAAAUCAUCACGGCCCUUACGCCUUGGGCUACACACGUGCUACAAUGGCCGGUACAGAGAGCAGCCACUGGGCGACCAGGAGCGAAUCUAUAAAACCGGUCACAGUUCGGAUCGGAGUCUGCAACUCGACUCCGUGAAGCUGGAAUCGCUAGUAAUCGGAUAUCAGCCAUGAUCCGGUGAAUACGUUCCCGGGCCUUGUACACACCGCCCGUCAAGCCAUGGAAGCUGGGGGUGC